GACGAACGCUGGCGGCGUGCCUAAUACAUGCAAGUAGAACGCUGACGGAGGAGCUUGCUUCUCUGGAUGAGUUGCGAACGGGUGAGUAACGCGUAGGUAACCUGCCCGGUAGUGGGGGAUAACUAUUGGAAACGAUAGCUAAUACCGCAUAAUAGCAGUUGUUGCAUGAUAACUGUUUGAAAGGUUCAAUUGCACCGCUACCAGAUGGCCCUGCGUUGUAUUAGCUAGUUGGUGGGGUAACGGCUCACCAAGGCGACGAUGCAUAGCCGAACUGAGAGGGUGAGCAGCCACACUGGGACUGGGACACGGCCCAGGACCCUACGGGAGGGAGCAGUAGGGGAACGGCAGCAAUGGAAGGAAGUCUGACCGAGACACGCCGAGUGAGUGAAGAAGAUUGUCGGAUCGUAAAGCUCUGUUUUAAGAGAAGAGCGAAUGUGAGAGUGGAAAGUUCACACUAUGACGGUAUCUUACCAGAAAGGGACGGCUAACUACGUG
rnacentral:rRNA from 1 species